rnacentral:misc_RNA from 1 species
GAUGAAGAACGUAGCGAAAUGCGAUAAGUAGUGUGAAUUGCAGAAUUCAGUGAAUCAUCGAAUCUUUGAACGCACAUUGCGCCCUUUGGUAUUCCUUUGGGCACGCCUGUUCGAGCGUCAUUUACCCCUCAAGCACUGCUUGGUGUUGGGCGUCUGUCCCGCUUCGCGCGCGGACUCGCCCCAAAGGUAUUGGCAGCGGUCGUGCCAGCUUCUCGCGCAGCACAUUGCGCUUCUCGAGGCGGUCGAUCGGCGUCCACGAAGCUCACCUCCACCGUUUGACCUCGGAUCAGGUAGGGAUACCCGCUGAACUUAAGCAUAUCAAUAAGCGGAGGA